rnacentral:lncRNA from 1 species
UUGGAUUGGACUGGGCUUGAAGACUGCAGGAGAUGGGCCUCAAUAAAAUUCUGCUGAUGGGCUGCUAUUGGUGAGAUUCGAUUGGGCUGACUUGCGGGGCUUGUGCAGAAGCUUUGUUGGACUGCUGGACCGAAAUUGCGGGCUCGUGGACGCGAGGUCUGGACGAGGCCACCGCAGGUAGAAGCGGAGACGUGCUGGCCGCUGGACUCGAGCACUUCAAUUGGCUGAAGACACACGCAAGAGGAGACCGAAGCUGCUGGAUUUCACGGGCUUGCUUCGUGGGCGAUCCAUUUUCAACGAAGCAGAAGAAAGAGAGCUUCGGUGGUCUUCAGCUGGCGUGCGCUGGCUUCACUUAAUUCGCUGGAUGCACGUGGGAGCUUCGGUCAAUAAGGGACUCCAUGGGUGGCGUUGAUGACCAAGCGUGAGUGGAGGUGGAGCGGACAGCUGCAACAAACGGUGGAGAUUUCUUCUUCGGUGGAUGGUGGCCGCGUAGGAGAGGGAACUCGGUGGAGUUUCGAAGGUCAACAAACUGCCUGUGAAGAAUCGAGGUUGACUGGUGUGUUGGCGAAGGAAGGAAGCAGGCUUGCGGAUGUGGCCGACCAAACUUGGUG